rnacentral:rRNA from 1 species
AAAAGCGGAGGAAAAGAAACCAACAGGGAUUGCCUUAGUAGCGGCGAGUGAAGCGGCAAAAGCUCAAAUUUGAAAUCUGGCACUUUCAGUGUCCGAGUUGUAAUUUGAAGAAGGUAUCUUUGGGUCUGGCUCUUGUCUAUGUUUCUUGGAACAGAACGUCACAGAGGGUGAGAAUCCCGUGCGAUGAGAUGUCCCAGACCUAUGUAAAGUUCCUUCGAAGAGUCGAGUUGUUUGGGAAUGCAGCUCUAAGUGGGUGGUAAAUUCCAUCUAAAGCUAAAUAUUGGCGAGAGACCGAUAGCGAACAAGUACAGUGAUGGAAAGAUGAAAAGAACUUUGAAAAGAGAGUGAAAAAGUACGUGAAAUUGUUGAAAGGGAAGGGCUUGAGAUCAGACUUGGUAUUUUGUAUGUUACUCUCUCGGGGGUGGCCUCUACAGUUUACCGGGCCAGCAUCAGUUUGGGCGGUAGGACAAUUGCAAAGAAAUGUGGCACUGCCUCGGUAGUGUGUUAUAGUCUUUGUCGAUACUGCCAGCCUAGACUGAGGACUGCGGCUUCGGCCUAGGAUGUUGGCAUAAUGAUCUUAAGUCGCCCGUCUUGACCC